AUUGAUUAAGCUAGAAAGAGCUUAUGGUGGAUGCCUAGGCAUUCAGAGUUGAAGAAGGACGCGACCGGCUGCGAAAAGCCGUGGGGAGCUGCUAAAUAAGCGUAGAUCCGCGGAUAUCCGAAUGGGGAAACCCACCAGUGUGGAGCACUGGUAUUAUGUGGUGAAAGAAGUAGCCAUGUAAGAACAAGCAGGAGAACUGAAACAUCUUAGUACCCUGAGGAAAAGAAAUCAAAACGAGAUUCCCUUAGUAGCGGCGAGCGAAAGGGGAGAAGUCCAAACACAUUAAGUGUAAAUCUGUAGAUGUUGCUUAAUGUGGGUGUAGGAUAUAACGACUAAAAGCUACAGCUUUUAGCUGACUUAAAUUUUUUACCCAGUCGAAUGAGCUGGAAAGCUCAACCAGAGGAGGUAAUAGUCCUGUAGACGAAAGGUAGAAGAAGUCAGGGAUAUAUCCAGAGUAUCACGGGCCACGAGAAACCCUGUGAGAAUAUGGGAGGACCACCUUCCAAGACUAAAUACUCCUGAAUGACCGAUAGUGAACAAGUACCGUGAGGGAAAGGUGAAAAGAACCCCGGGAGGGGAGUGAAAUAGAAACUGAAACCGUAAGCUUACAACAAGUAGGAGGGCUAUUAGAAAGCCUGACUGCGUACUUUUUGUAUCACGGACCGGCGAGUUACUAAUCGUAGCGAAAGGUUAAGUCAUAGAGAUGAAGCCAGAGCGAAAGCGAGUCUGAUAAGGGCGGAAGUUAUGAUUAGUAGACCCGAAACCGAGUGAUCUAUCCAUGACCAGGGUGAAGCGGGUGUAAGAGCCUGUGGAGGCCCGAACCCACUUAUGUUGAAAAAUGAGGGGAUGAGUUGUGGAUAGGGGUGAAAGGCCAAUCGAACUCGGAGAUAGCUGGUUCUCCUCGAAAUAGCUUUAGGGCUAGCCUCGAUGUAAAAGUUAAAUGGUUGUAGAGCACUGAUUGGACAAGGGGCCCAACAAGGUUACCAAAUCCAUUCAAACUCCGAAUGCCGUUUAAUGUUCAUCGGGAGUCAGACUAUGUGGGAUAAGCUUCAUAGUCGAAAGGGAAAGAGCCCAGACCACCAGAUAAGGUCCCAAAGUAUAUGCUAAGUGGAAAAGGAAGUGAGAUCGCACAGACAACCAGGAUGUUGGCUUAGAAGCAGCCACUCAUUUAAAGAGUGCGUAAUAGCUCACUGGUUAAGCGGUUUUGCGCCGAAAAUGUAACGGGGCUAAAGCAUAUCACCGAAGCUGUGGAUUCUGGAGGUUGGAGGUUAGAGGUUGGAAGUUAGUUAAAGAUGGUGAAAAAAUGAUCAAAAGCUAUAAAGAUUUAAAAGUAUAUAAAAAAAGUUAUAGCCUUGCAUUAGAAAUACAUCAACUAACUCAACAUCUACCAAAGACUGAGAGAUAUGAAUUAGGAAGUCAAAUGAGAAGAGCGGCAAUUUCAAUACCAUCAAAUAUAGCAGAAGGUUAUGGCAAAAAAAGAUCUACUGCAGAAUUUAAGAGAUUUUUAUUAAUGAGUUUAGGAUCCUGUAAUGAGUUGCAGGUGCAAAUAAACUUAUGUAAAGAUUUAGGGUAUAUCGAAGAUGAAAAAGCUGAUAAACUUCUUGAAAGAUAUGAUAUAUUGGGAAGACAACUAAACACUAUGAUAGAUAAAUGGUUUUGAACUUUCCAACUUCCAAUUUCUAAUCUCCAACUUCUAGAGUGGUAGAGGAGCAUUGUGUACGGAGUGAAGCUGUACCGUAAGGAGCAGUGGACUGUACAGAAGAGAGAAUGCCGGUAUGAGUAACGAAAAAAGGAGUGAGAAUCUCCUUCGCCGAAAGUCUAAGGAUUCCUGAGGAAGGCUCGUCCUCUCAGGGUUAGUCGGGACCUAAGCUGAGGCCGAAAGGCGUAGGUGAUGGAAAAUCUGUAAAGAUUCAGAUACCACUGUAAAUUGAUUGAGUGAAGUGGGGACGCGGCAAAGAGAGUGGAGCGUGUGACUGGAAGAGCACGUAUAAGCUGAGGAGUUAGGGUAAGGAGGCAAAUCCCUUUACCCGCUAAUAACUUUUAGUGAUGUGGAGCCAAAAGAGGCGAAGCCACUUAAUGAGUCGCCAAGAAAAACCACUAACGAGAUUUACAGUGCCCGUACCGCAAACCGACACAGGUAGACGGGAAGAGAAUUCUAAGGCGCGCGAGAGAACCCUUGUUAAGGAACUCGGCAAAAUGACCCCGUAACUUCGGGAGAAGGGGUACCCAUUAGGAAUACCUAGUGGGUUGCAGUGAAAAGAUCCAAGCGACUGUUUAUCAAAAACACAGGUCUCUGCUAAGUCGUAAGACGAAGUAUAGGGGCUGACGCCUGCCCGGUGCUGGAAGGUCAAGGAGAAGGCUUAGUGCUUAUGCACGAAGGUCUGAACCUAAGCCCCAGUAAACGGCGGCCGUAACUAUAACGGUCCUAAGGUAGCGAAAUUCCUUGUCGGGUAAGUUCCGACCUGCACGAAUGGCGUAACGACUUGGAUGCUGUCUCAACAAGGGACUCGGUGAAAUUAAAUUGCCUGUGAAGAUGCAGGCUACCUGCGACAGGACGGAAAGACCCCGUGGAGCUUUACUGCAGCCUGAUAUUGGGUUUUGAUGUAGAAUGUACAGGAUAGGUGGGAGACUUUGAAGCUGGCAUGCUAAUGUCAGUGGAGUCGCUGGUGGGAUACCACCCUUUCUACAGCGGAAUUCUAACUGGAGGCCAUAAACUGGUCACAGGACAUUGUCAGGCGGGCAGUUUGACUGGGGCGGUCGCCUCCCAAACAGUAACGGAGGCGCUCAAAGGUUCCCUCAGUGCGGAUGGAAAUCGCACGAAGAGUGUAAAGGCAGAAGGGAGCUUAACUGCAAGACAGACAAGUCGAGCAGGUACGAAAGUAGGACUUAGUGAUCCGGCGGUAUAGUGUGGAAUUGCCGUCGCUCAACGGAUAAAAGUUACCCCGGGGAUAACAGGCUUAUCUCCCCCAAGAGUUCACAUCGACGGGGAGGUUUGGCACCUCGAUGUCGGCUCAUCGCAUCCUGGAGCUGAAGCAGGUUCCAAGGGUUUGGCUGUUCGCCAAUUAAAGCGGUACGCGAGCUGGGUUCAGAACGUCGUGAGACAGUUCGGUCCCUAUCCGUCGCAGGCGGAAGAUACUUGAGAAGAGCUGUCCCCAGUACGAGAGGACCGGGAUGGACACACCGAUGGUGAAUCAGUUGUUCCACCAGGAGCAUAGCUGAGUAGCUAAGUGUGGAAAAGAUAAGCGCUGAAAGCAUCUAAGCGUGAAACAGACUUCAAGAUUAGGUAUCUCACUUUGUUAAGAAGGUAAGAUCCCUUAAAGAUGAUAAGGUAGAUAGGCCAGAGGUGUAAGUGUAGUAAUACAUUAAGCUAACUGGUACUAAUAGAUCGAGGGCUUAAUCAUU
rnacentral:rRNA from 1 species